rnacentral:rRNA from 1 species
GGCGUCACGCAUCGCGUCGCCCCUUCCCCCCCGCUCCCACGGAGCGGCCGGGGCGGGGACGGAGACUGGCCUCCCGUGCCUCCCGCCGCGCGGCCGGCCCAAAUGCGAUCCCCCGGCGGCGCCAGUCGCGACCAGUGGUGGUUGAACCGUCAACUCGC